GGCUGGUCCGAGUGCAGUGGUGUUUAGAACUAACUGAUCACAACCAGUUACAGAUUUCUUUGCUCCUUCUCCACUCCCACUGCUUCACUUGACUAGCCUAAA
rnacentral:Y_RNA from 1 species